UUUUACAAUGGAGAGUUUGAUCCUGGCUCAGGAUGAACGCUAGCUACAGGCUUAACACAUGCAAGUCGAGGGGAAACGAUAUUGGAAGCUUGCUUCCGAUAGGCGUCGACCGGCGCACGGGUGAGUAACGCGUAUCCAACCUGCCCACCACUUGGGGAUAACCUUGCGAAAGUAAGACUAAUACCCAAUGAUAUCUCUAGAAGACAUCUGAAAGAGAUUAAAGAUUUAUCGGUGAUGGAUGGGGAUGCGUCUGAUUAGCUUGUUGGCGGGGUAACGGCCCACCAAGGCAACGAUCAGUAGGGGUUCUGAGAGGAAGGUCCCCCACAUUGGAACUGAGACACGGUCCAAACUCCUACGGGAGGCAGCAGUGAGGAAUAUUGGUCAAUGGACGAGAGUCUGAACCAGCCAAGUAGCGUGCAGGAAGACGGCCCUAUGGGUUGUAAACUGCUUUUAUAAGGGAAUAAAGUGAGAGUCGUGACUCUUUUUGCAUGUACCUUAUGAAUAAGGACCGGCUAAUUCCGUGCCAGCAGCCGCGGUAAUACGGAAGGUCCGGGCGUUAUCCGGAUUUAUUGGGUUUAAAGGGAGCGUAGGCCGGAGAUUAAGCGUGUUGUGAAAUGUAGA
rnacentral:rRNA from 1 species